UAACCGGCCCAAAGUAGGAAUAGAACUUGGAGGAAAAAUGUUUGAAAUAAAACAAACUCCAACUUGAGUUUAUAAGUAAUUAAUAUUUUUCACACAAAAAAACUACAAGUCCAAUUAAUAAAUUUACAAAAAUAAUACAAGUCCAAAUAAUUCAAUUCACAAACAUCGAAAAAUAUUCUAAGUCCAAUUUAGUUUCACACACAAAAAUAGUUUGUAAAACAGAGUAACGUAAAGUUGCUCGCAUUUGAUUGUGAUGGAAUUGUCUGAUUAGAUGAUGUUUUGGGCAGUGUUAUAUAUGUUC